rnacentral:rRNA from 1 species
AGUGAACGCUGGCGGUAGGCCUAACACAUGCAAGUCGAACGGCAGCACAGUAAGAGCUUGCUCUUACGGGUGGCGAGUGGCGGACGGGUGAGGAAUACAUCGGAAUCUACUUUUUCGUGGGGGAUAACGUAGGGAAACUUACGCUAAUACCGCAUACGACCUACGGGUGAAGCAGGGGAUCUUCGGACCUUGCGCGAUUGAAUGAGCCGAUGUCGGAUUAGCUAGUUGGCGGGGUAAAGGCCCACCAAGGCGACGAUCCGUAGCUGGUCUGAGAGGAUGAUCAGCCACACUGGAACUGAGACACGGUCCAGACUCCUACGGGAGGCAGCAGUGGGGAAUAUUGGACAAUGGGCGCAAGCCUGAUCCAGCCAUACCGCGUGGGUGAAGAAGGCCUUCGGGUUGUAAAGCCCUUUUGUUGGGAAAGAAAAGCAGCAGGUUAAUACCCCGCUGUUCUGACGGUACCCAAAGAAUAAGCACCGGCUAACUUCGUA